GGAGAGGUGCCUGAGUGGUCGAAAGGAACUCACUGCUAACGAGUCGUAGAUCCAAAAGUCUACCGAGGGUUCGAAUCCCUCCCUCUCCGCCA
rnacentral:tRNA from 1 species